CCAGGGGAAGGCUCGUCCGCCCUGGGUUAGUCGGGACCUAAGGAGAGACCGAAAGGUGUAUCCGAUGGACAACAGGUUGAUAUUCCUGUACUAGAGUAUAUAGUGAUGGAGGGACGCAGUAGGCUAACUAAACCAGACGAUUGGAAGUGUCUGGCCAAGCAGUGAGGUGUGAUAUGAGUCAAAUGCUUAUAUCUUUAACAUUGAGCUGUGAUGGGGAGCGAAGUUUAGUAGCGAAGUUAGUGAUGUCACACUGCCGAGAAAAGCUUCUAGCGUUAAUUAUACUCUACCCGUACCGCAAACCGACACAGGUAGUCGAGGCGAGUAGCCUCAGGUGAGCGAGAGAACUCUCGUUAAGGAACUCGGCAAAAUGGCCCCGUAACUUCGGGAGAAGGGGCGCUGACUGAUGGUCAGCCGCAGUGAAUAGGCCCAAGCAACUGUUUAUCAAAAACACAGCUCUCUGCUAAAUCGUAAGAUGAUGUAUAGGGGGUGACGCCUGCCCGGUGCUGGAAGGUUAAGAGGAGUGCUUAGCGUAAGCGAAGGCAUGAAUUGAAGCCCCAGUAAACGGCGGCCGUAACUAUAACGGUCCUAAGG
rnacentral:ncRNA from 1 species